rnacentral:lncRNA from 1 species
CGAGGGAGCAAGAGAAACUGAUGAGAAUCGAAAUUUCAACUUCACUGCUACAGUCUUGUUCCUGAUUUGGCAACUUUCUACACUAAUAUCAAGGUUAUCUGCAAUCGUUAUUUUCGCUUACACAUUUAGAUUUCACGUACUCACUUUCGUUGGAAUCCAUUUGUUGCUUCUAGUGGUAGUUGUUUUUUUUACAAAAAGUACAUGUGAAACUCG